CGGGACGGGUGAGUAAUGUAUGGGGAUCUGCCUGAUGGCGGGGGAGUAACUACUGGAAACGGUGGCUAAUACCGCAUAAUGUCUACGGACCAAAGCGGGGGACCUCCGGGCCUCGCGCCAUCAGAUGAACCCAUAUGGGAUUAGCUUGUAGGUAAGGUAACGGCUUACCUAGGCGACGAUCCCUAGCUGGUCUGAGAGGAUGAUCAGCCACACUGGGACUGAGACACGGCCCAG
rnacentral:rRNA from 1 species